rnacentral:rRNA from 1 species
GACGAACGCUGGCGACGUGCUUAACACAUGCAAGUCGAACGGAAAGGCCCUGCUUGCAGGGUACUCGAGUGGCGAACGGGUGAGUAACACGUGGGUGAUCUGCCCUGCACUUCGGGAUAAGCCUGGGAAACUGGGUCUAAUACCGGAUAGGAGCCAGUUUUAGUGUGAUGGUUGGAAAGUUUUUUUCGGUGUAGGAUGAGCUCGCGGCCUAUCAGCUUGUUGGUGGGGUAAUGGCCUACCAAGGCGGCGACGGGUAGCCGGCCUGAGAGGGUGGACGGCCACAUUGGGACUGAGAUACGGCCCAGACUCCUACGGGAGGCAGCAGUGGGGAAUAUUGCACAAUGGGCGCAAGCCUGAUGCAGCGACGCCGCGUGGGGGAUGACGGCCUUCGGGUUGUAAACUCCUUUCGCUAGGGACGAAGCUUUUUGUGACGGUACCUAGAUAAGAAGCACCGGCUAACUACGU